UCAAGCCUUAAUGGUGGUUGCCACCAAGUCCUGUUCACUUCUUUUUGACCAAUAUCCAAGAAUUCAUGUGAAUCGAACUUUGAUGAUUGCCGCCACCAAGUCCCGUUCGAAUUCUUUUUGUUGGAAUUCUUAUGAACCAAGCCUUAAUGGUUGUAGCCACCAAGUCUUGUUCGGAUUCCACUAUAUAUAUAUAUAUAUAUAUUUUUUCUUUUUUUUCUUUCGUUUUUGUUUUUAUUUUUAUUUUUAUUUUUUUGAAAAUAAAUAUCUCUACCUAUAAAUCAGGUCGAAAUAGAGAGAGAAAAUGUGGUAAAAAUCUACGCAAAGCUUAUCUUCCAGACUUGUUUGAAGAAUCCGAUCCCAUGUAUACCAAGCCUCAAGACAAGCAGUUGUGUCAGGUUUAGUGUUGGAGGUCAGCUUUGGUUCCUUCAAACAAUCUCAGCAAGUAUGAAUAGUUGACAUGUUGAUCCACUUUAGUAUCUUUAGUACGAUCUGGAAUCAAUAAGUCUAGAUUGGUGCUAAAGAAUGGUUAGAUAACUAGCAAAUAUCUAAUAAGUUCAUUAUCCUCUUCUUGACUUAAUAAAACUCUUUUGAAAACAUUUUGAUAAGACUCCCAAUAAACUGGAUAUCAGAAAACAUUCCCCCAGACUUAAAUUACACUAUCCCCAGUGUAUAUCCAGUCGGGGUUUUGGUGAGAACUAAUCAUAAGUACACAAUUUAGCAAGUUAGAACGAUAUACCUGACCGGGUUAAGUGUCGAUCGAUGGAAAGGAGUUACC
rnacentral:lncRNA from 1 species